rnacentral:snRNA from 1 species
AUCGUUGGCGAUGGUACGUCUGUCAAUUUCAACACUACAGAGGAGAUUAGAAUUGUCUUUGCAUAAAGAUGACACGCUAUACAAAGAGAUUUACCAUUUCUUC